AACCGAGGAGAGAACAGGAAUUCACACAUUGCUGGCAGGAGUGUCCAUAAUCAAAGGAUAGAAAGGCUCUGGAGAGACGUUUAUGUAGGAGUGCUGGAUCUCUUCUACACAAUGUUUUUCAACCUAGAGAGAGAAGGCCUUCUCAAUCCUGACUGUGAAGUGCAUCUCUAUGCUCUGCACUGGUGCUUUGUGCCCCACAUACAGAAGCACCUGCAGUUUUUCCAGCAAGGCUGGAACUGCCACCGACUAAGCACUGAGGGAAACCGGUCCCCACUGCAACUGUGGACUCGCCAUGAGCGUGAGGCCCAGCAGGAACAUAUACAGGUUGACAUUGAGUUUGGAGUUGACUGGACUGGACCAUGUGCUCAUCGCCUGCCUCAUGUUAUGGUUCCUGAAGUUCAGCUGCAACGUUCACUGACUGACCAGGAAGUGGAAAGACUUCCAGACCCUGAUGGCCCUCUGUC